rfam:Glossina palpalis gambiensis isolate 146720 unplaced genomic scaffold Scaffold1, whole genome shotgun sequence.
UGGGGUGUAGCUCAGUGAUAGAGCGUUCGCUUUGCAUGUGAAAGGCUCCAGGUUUAAUACUCGGCAUCUUUA